GUGCUCGCUUCAGCAGCACAUAUACUAAAACUGGAAUGAUACAGAGAAGAUUAGCAUGGCCCCUGUGCAAGGAUGACGCACAAAUUCAUGAAGCGUUCCAUAUUAAA
rnacentral:snRNA from 1 species